CUCCCCCUGCUUGUACAUACUCUCUCUAGGUCAGAUAAAUAAAAUCUUAACGUGUUUAAAGAUGAAGCCAGAGGCUGUUAGCAUCUGCUGAGAAAAUCACACUUGGGCGCAGGAGACCCCGGCUUCAGGCUAAGCUUUGCUACCGGCGACUGACUGUAAAGGAAUAGCUUUAGCGGGUCCGAUCUUUCCAGCCACGCUUCCUGCCUGACAGCACACAACAGCAAGCAGGAAGGAAGACACCGGUGAGGACAGGUUAGCAGGGUCUCAGGCCCUGAGGUUUCUUGUAAACUCGGCUCUCCACAUUCAGUGCAAGAGGCUGCUCAGACGCCGAGAGGAGCUUUCCCAGGUCAGGCCCACGGGGGCCCUGCCCCUCAGAACAGCCUGGGGGCCAGCAGCCUGGGUGUCGGCUGGGGUCCCAGAUGCAGAGCCUGGGCUGAAGCAAAACCCGCAUCUCAGCAAGAAAGCCGGCGCACACGUACCUGGGAGACCAGGGAAACUGAGGCUGGCAGCUCCCCUUCAUGUCAUAGCCGUGCCACAGGCCUGAGGGACCAGGUUCGGUGUGUGGCCGCUGCGUCAGCCCCAGAGCAGCCACCAGCAGCAGCGCCACGCAACCGUCCCGGAGCCUGGCCGAGAUCCCUGCCAUCGGACACACCAGGGCAACAGCCCACCCCACCCUCAGCCCCAGCCCACAGGUGCCAGAGCUCACCAGCCUGGAAAGGGUGCCAGCUCCCUCCGCUCCACCACCAGAGACCUUAGAAAAAUCACUUAACUGCUCGCUGACUCCAUUUUCUCAUCUGUGUAAUGGGGCCAGUAACAGCACCUAACCUGUAGGCUUGCUGCAAAGAGGAAAUACGAGGACCCACGGACAGUAGGGAGGGCAGAGCCUGCCUGGUGUGGACACAAGAGCAAAAGAAUCCAUGGUUGUUUCCACGGCUGAGGAAAGAGGGUCAGAUCAGAGCAAACUGACUUGCAGGUCUUGGCUUCCCACGUGGCCUCUUUCUAAACAGCAGGUCAGCGUUCUCUGUGUACCCCAGAACCAGCAGCAGGGGGAUCUGCGGGGGAACCUGAUGGAAAUGCAGAUGCCCAGGCUGCACCCUUGACUGGCUGGGAAAGAGACCCAGCAGCCUGGGUUCGGCCAGCCCCCCUGCGAGGUCCCGAUGUGCACUUGGUGGAGAGUCACUGGUCUGUAUGCAUUUAGGCCCUUCCCAAAGGCCCCGGUCACCCUCCCCCCGACUUUCCCCUCUGUGAAGGCCCAUCGGCAGUCUUGGUGUCCUCCUGGCGACACCAGCCUGACACCAUGGAGGGCUCCCCUAAGGGUUCUCUGAUUUCUAAACUUGGCCUGAGCUCUUGACCCCUGGCCACUGGAAACUCCUGUCCUCUGUUUCCAGCCAGCAAGCCUCCACCCAAGGCUCCUUCUGCUCCCGUGUACCCCCAAGGCUCUCUCUGAUGGGCAACAUGGGCUCCUGUUUCCUGACACUCUUGUCUCUCUGUCCCAGCAUCCUAUGCCUGAGGGCCUAGGGACUGUGGCACUGGGGAAUAUGUGCAGAGAGGUUUGCCUCCACUGUGAGAGUACAGUUGGGGGGCCCCCUCAAGAAUAGACAUCACUGCCUUCUUCUUUAGAAAAUGUCUCAGGGCCCUGCCCAUUGGGACUACAUUUUUGUUUUAGCAAAUUUCAUAAAUUAUCCUCAGGAAGGGUUGGGGGGGCAUCUACAGUGAUUACAGGAUGGGAAACAGGGGUUGGGGGAAAGGUCUGAAGAAUGAGGGUUUCAGGGAAUAAGCCCCUUAGCAGGGCCCCCAUGAGAGGUUGUGCAGGAUGUUCACUGCACAAGGGUACCUGCUGGAGGAGGCAAGGGAGGGCUGAGGUCCUGAGGGCUGGAGGGCUCAAGCCUGAUACUCCCCUGCCAAGAUGUGUCCACAGGAGGGAAGGGGGGUUCCUUCUUCGCCCCAAGAGCAGUCUAUGCACCAAACCUUGCACUUUGAGGCAGGGGUUUGUGCAGAAGAAGUCCUUAUUAAAAAACCCUCCUUUCCUGCUGUGAAAUUACUUGCCCGAGGUCACAAAGCUUGGGAACGGCAGUGCCUGAUCAAAAUGCAGUCCAGCUGCAGAGUCCCUGAGCUCACCCCUCCCACAACCGAGCCUGCAUGUCCUUGGAGGAUGUCCAUGGGCCAUCAGGUUGGGGCUAGGGGUGGGUAGGGAUGGGAGGACUUCCCCCAAAGCAGAAUGGCAACAUCUGCCUGUUUUCUAGGGAGGGCUGCAGGCACUUGUCUUUGGAAGACCAGGCGCUCCGUGACCGCCAGCACUAACAUUUUGGCUAAUCAAGCUGCUUACUGAUCUGCCAUCUUGGGCUGCAGUGAAAAAUACCAUCUCCAUCCCAAGGUCGCAGUAUUUUAGGCAUUCUUCACUUGGGAUUGCAGGCUUCUUGCAAGUUUAUUAUGUGCCAUGCCAGACCCUGUGAUGGAGCCUGUGUCCAAGCAGAAGAGUCAAUCCCAUGGGAGCGGGAGGACUUGCCUCGAUAUGGGAGUUUGUUAACAUGUUCUACUGAGCCCUUCCUAGGUGCUGUGACGCUGAGUUUGGAGGAAUGCUCCCUGACCCUGGGAGGCUUGGUCAGCAAAGACUUGGGGAGCCAUUAAAUGCAAAUUCAGUUUCAUCCAC